CCCUUAGAUGUUCUGGGCCGCACGCGCGCUACACUGACGAAUGCAACGAGCUUAUAACCUUGGCCGAAAGGUCUGGGUAAUCUCCAAAUUUGGUCGUGAUGGGGAUAGAUUAUUGCAAUUAUUAAUCUUCAACGAGGAAUGCCUAGUAAGCGCAAGUCAUCAGCUUGCGUUGAUUACGUCCCUGCCCUUUGUACACACCGCCCGUCGCUCCUACCGAUUGAAUGGUCCGGUGAAGCGUUCGGACCGUGGCCUUUGGACGGUUCGCCGUCUGUUGGCUGCGGGAAGUUCGUUAAACCUUAUCAUUUAGAGGAAGGAGAAGUCGUAACA
rnacentral:rRNA from 1 species